GGCAAGGUGGCCGAGUUGGUUAAGGCGUCAGGUUAAGGUCUCCCUUAGCAACAAUAUCCUGAUUCAGAAAUGAGCACGAGUUCGAAUCUCGUCCUUGUCA